rnacentral:rRNA from 1 species
CGCGUAGGCGGGCUUUCAAGUCGGAUGUGAAAACCCCGGGCUUAACUCGGGGCCUGCAUUCGAAACUGGAGGUCUUGAGUACAGGAGAGGAAAGUGGAAUUCCAGGUGUAGCGGUGAAAUGCGUAGAUAUCUGGAAGAACACCAGUAGCGAAGGCGGCUUUCUGGACUGAUACUGACGCUAAAGCGCGAAGGCUUGGGGAGCAAACAGGAUUAGAUACCCUGGUAGUCC